GACGAACGCUGGCGGCGUGCUUAACACAUGCAAGUCGAACGGGCCUUGUCCCCUUUUUUUUUGGGGGUGGGGUUAGUGGCGAACGGGUGAGUAACACGUGAGUAACCUGCCCCUCACUUCUGGAUAACCGCUUGAAAGGGUGGCUAAUACGGGGUGUUCUGGCCUGCUCGCAUGGGUGGGUUUGGAAAGAUUCGACCGGUUUUGGUUGUUUUGGUGGGGGAUGGGCUCGCGGCCUAUCAGCUUGUUGGUGGGGUGAUGGCCUGCCAAGGCUUUGACGGGUAGCCGGCCUGAGAGGGUGGGCGGUCACACUGGGACUGAGACACGGCCCAGACUCCUACGGGAGGCAGCAGUGGGGAAUAUUGCACAAUGGGCGCAAGCCUGAUGCAGCGACGCCGCGUGAGGGAUGGAGGCCUUCGGGCUGUGAACCUCUUUCGCCAGUGAAGAAGGUCCUGCUCUUUGUGGUGGGGUUGACGGUAGCUGGGUUAAUGAAGCGCCGGCUAACUACGUG
rnacentral:rRNA from 1 species